ACUGACCCGGAUCUAAAUCCACGGAGGGGGCGACCCGCGCCUCCGGAGUCGCACUGCGCCUGCGUCACUCAGACACGCUCCCCGCCCCCUGUUCGUGCUCCUCCCACCCCAGUGACUAGGCAACGCGGCAGGCGGUGGCUGCGCAGGCGCGGGGCGAUGGCCGCGCCUCUCAAACGCCUGACGCCCGCCCCUCGCGAAGCACGUGCUCCUGACGUCAGUUCCUGUUAUUCUCUUCAUUAGUCCCGCCCUCCGCAAAGGAUUCGCUUUGGAACGGGUUUUGGGGUGUGCCUGCUUCCUCCUCUCGGUCAGGUGAGUGAGUGGGCGUUGUUCUUCGUUGUCGAGCUGCCUCCACUUCCCCGUGUCUCCCUGUGCUUGGUGCUCCACCUGGAGUCAGCGAGGCUGCGGAAUUCUUUGGGGUGAGGCCGGAGUGGGGGGAUUUUCACAGCGACGGAGCCCGUCUGAGCGCUUGGCCCAAGCCUCCUCGAUGCUCGAAUCUGGACGGCAUGCGACAUCUCCAGGGCUCCGACACCAGCCCUGGACUCCCGGGGAUCUUCCAGGGCUGCAGAGAAGCAAGGAAGUAUUGGACACGGUCAGGACCGUGAACGUGACGCCGGAAUUGGAACUGAAAUGCCUUCGCUUUAAUACGCCUGUUGUUUGACUUGAGGCAACUGCGUUUCCCUCUCUGGGCCUCAUUUUCUCCCUUCCGUUAAGUGAGGACCUUGGACUGUUUCAGCGAAUCUCGUUUUUUUCAGGCAUGGACUCCUUUGAGAAUCUGGUGAGAACUGUAGAACACCUCGACAGAGAAACGCACAUGCAUACUAAAUUUUGCAAAAAGUUUUGGACAGUUCACCUAAGCACUGGUUCUGGUUAAAUCUGCAGCAGCUGGAGUCCCAGGACUCAAUCCUCAGAGCCUGGAGCGGGGAUGGGAGGCUUUUCCUGGUAACUAUUGAUCACCAGCAGGGGGAGCGCGAGGAUCGCAGAUUCUGCUCAAAUUUUCAUUCAACUUUGCACCUUAAACUGUAUGAUGACAUCAGGAAGGUAUCAAGGCCAAGAAUUGGAAUCAACCAGUAAAGCUACAGAAGAAAAGAAUCUGUAAAUGGUGAGGACAGGAAGGGAUUAUUGAGAAGAGCUACUGGGGUGCUGGUAGUACUGUUUCUUGAUCUGAUGUUGGUUAUAGGAAUGUGUUCAGUUUGUGAAAAUUCAUCAAGCUAUAACACAUAGUAUAGGUACAUUUUUCUGUAUAUGUAUUAAUUUCAAUAAAAUGUUUUAAAAACUAAAAACAAAACCUCUAUGUAUAACCCAAGAUAUGUAUUGGAUUAGGGUGACUGUUCUUUUUACCCCAUAAAUCUUAACCUUAUCGGAGUCACAAGACCCUCUGAAAAAGACCCAAGGUUAAGAACUUUUGCAGCAGCAAAAUGGAGAAAAGGAGCUAAGCACGCGAACACAUAGUUCACCGAAAAAAGAAAUACAAACAUAUGAAAAGAUGCUUACUUUCAGUCUUCAAAAAAUGAAUGCUUGUUAAAAGUGCACAGAGAUACCAAUCGUAACCUAUCUGGUUGGCAACAAUUCCAAAGUUUGAGAGCACAUUCGGUGGGAUUGGAGGUAGGGGGUGGGCAGUAGGCAACAGGCUCGCUCAGAUAUUACUGGAGGGAUUGUGAAAUGACAAGUCUAGGAAUCCACCCUGUAGAUGACAUUUGUAGAUCCAUGCAAUGACUUAUGUAAAAGGUUAGCCAUUGCAGCAUUGGUUGUAAGAGCGAAAAGAUUGGAAACAACCCAGAUGUCCAUCUGUACAGGACCGGGCACAGAAACCGUGGUGCGGCUCCAUGCAGAAGCACUAGGUAGCUGGAAACAGAGGAAGCUCUUUGUGGACUGAGGAAAGCUCUCCAAGAUACAGUAAGUAAACAACAAACAAACAAAAAACCAAGAUGUGAGCUAAGAAUAUAUACUUGUAUUACUUGUGUGUGAAUAAAGAAACACUGAAAAGGUAUACAGGACAGCAAGAGAAGCAGGUCAGAGAAUGGGGGGGGAGCCAGACUUUGUACCGUGGACCUUGGGUUCUGAUUUUUGAAUCCUGAAGUAUCUUACCUACACCAGACAUGAGCCGCGGCAGAUUUAAAGAGCCCUGUUCUGAAGCUGUUGAGCUAAGCUUCUAGGCUCUCAUACUUAUUAUAUCUGCCAACUGCACAAUGGCUGGGUUUGGUUUUUUAACUUUGAAUGAAGCUGUGUCUUGAUGAGAGUCUUCAACUUAUUCUGCAUUUGAGCUGCUGUGUCACGGUUUCCCGGCUCAGCCUCAACUCCCAAGAAUUCUUUCCUUGCCCUGCCUGUGCUCUAAACCAGUCUGCCGCCCUCUCAAGGGUUGACAUCUACCUAUAAUUCAUGAGCAUCGUAUUUUGCCUGAGGGAAAAGGAAAAGGUUUCACCAAAAGAGUGCUCCUGUGCCCUCAGAUGCCAUCUGAGACCUUGGUCUUCGUCCGUUCACCUUUGCCCGUCACUACCGCCAUUCUUUUCCCUUCCCACCUCCUUAAAGUGUCUUCCCUCCAAGACCAGCCCCCACUGUAACGUCCCUUUGGUUCCUGUCUCUUGCACCUUCUCUGGAAACUCACACCAUUUUUUCUGUACGUGCUAACAUACAUCAUGUCUUCUCCUGUAUUUAAAAAAAGAAAAACAAAACAAACAAAACACCCCCACAAAACCCAAACCCACAAAGCCCCUUUCUACCUGGAUUCCUCCUAAGUUCCCAUCCUUUUUCUCGCCAUUAGACCAUAGUCAGUGUCUCUCCUUUGAUUCUCAUUGUUCAGUCUGCUGCAACCAGACUUCCGUCCUCACUGAAACGCUUCUGGCCAAGGGCAGGAGUGGCUUCCUUGCUGCUGAAUCAAGCGGCCCCUUUCUCAGCUCUCACGUUGCUUGAGUUCUGAGCACUGUCUGACGCUGGUCGUGGCCUCCUCCUCAACUCACUCCCCUUCCAGCUUCUGUGGUCCCUGCGCCCAGGGCCGUCCUCGCCGCCUGUCCUGCUCCGUCUCCUCCCCAGGCUCCUCUUCUGCUCGUCUGCGGUCCUCAGGCCUCGCCGCACCACGCUUCUCACCUCAUUCACUCCCUGGGUGAGCCUGUGUCAGAGAAUAGAGAAAUCCACUCUGACUAGCUUGAGUAGAAAAGGAAUUUACUGGAAGGAUAUCAGAAAGCUCACUCAACAAAAGGGAAUGCUGAACAGCCAGGCCUCAUCAGACUGGGGACACAGCCUUUCCCAGGAGCCAGGAAUUCGCAGGCAGCCUCUCUGGGGCGUCACCAUCAGGUGCCACGCGUUUGUGAUCCCUCCAUGCCGCUCUGCACAGGAUUCAGGUUCUGAGGGGAGAAGCCCUGGGUGGCCCUGCAGCAGCCGUCCGCCUUUGUCCCCCACUACCAGUACCCGGGGAUGACCACUGUCAGCAUUUUGUCGUAGUGCUGUGAUGUGCCUAGGAGCCAGGCUGGCUCUGUUAGAAGUCCGGCUUCACCACACCCACCCCUCUGUGUGGCCUUGGACAUGCUGCCCAAGCCCCUGUGCCUCCAUUUACUGCUCUGAAAAAUGGGGGUAAUGAUAAGACCCACCUCAGAGGGCUUGGAGAGGAUCGAGUGAGUGAUUUGAUAGGACACUGCCAGGUUCCUGGUGAGUGUCCAACAAAUGUUA